AACGUAGGACACAAGCGUUAUCCGGAGUUACUGGGCGUAAAGGGCGUUUAGGCGGGUGAUUAAGUUGCUAUGAAAGCGCCAGGCUAAACCUGGCGAGGCUGGCGGAUACUGGUCAUCUGGAGUGAGGGAGAGGGAAGUAGAAUUCCGCGUGUAGUGGUGAAAUGCGUAGAGAUGCGGAGGAAUACCAGUGGCGAAGGCGACUUCCUGGCCCUCAACUGACGCUGAAGCGACGAAAGCAUGGGGAGCGAACGGGG
rnacentral:rRNA from 1 species